ACACAUGCAAGUCGAGGGGAAACGACAUCGAAAGCUUGCUUUUGAUGGGCGUCGACCGGCGCACGGGUGAGUAACGCGUAUCCAACCUGCCCACCACUUGGGGAUAACCUUGCGAAAGUAAGACUAAUACCCAAUGAUAUCUCUAGAAGACAUCUGAAAGAGAUUAAAGAUUUAUCGGUGAUGGAUGGGGAUGCGUCUGAUUAGCUUGUUGGCGGGGUAACGGCCCACCAAGGCGACGAUCAGUAGGGGUUCUGAGAGGAAGGUCCCCCACAUUGGAACUGAGACACGGUCCAAACUCCUACGGGAGGCAGCAGUGAGGAAUAUUGGUCAAUGGACGAGAGUCUGAACCAGCCAAGUAGCGUGCAGGAAGACGGCCCUAUGGGUUGUAAACUGCUUUUAUAAGGGAAUAAAGUGAGUCUCGUGAGACUUUUUGCAUGUACCUUAUGAAUAAGGACCGGCUAAUUCCGUGCCAGCAGCCGCGGUAAUACGGAAGGUCCGGGCGUUAUCCGGAUUUAUUGGGUUUAAAGGGAGCGUAGGCCGGAGAUUAAGCGUGUUGUGAAAUGUAGACGCUCAACGUCUGCACUGCAGCGCGAACUGGUCUUCUUGAGUACGCACAACGUGGGCGGAAUUCGUGGUGUAGCGGUGAAAUGCUUAGAUAUCACGAAGAACUCCGAUUGC
rnacentral:rRNA from 1 species